rnacentral:sRNA from 1 species
AAACAUUUGUUUGUAGAAAAAACUUUUCCACAUGUGUUGUCUAAAUCUAUGGGAUAGCACACGUCUAGGGGUUUCAUGUUACGAAAUGAUAUCAUAUAGCAUCUCUUUCUCGCCACUCUAAUCCCAUGUAGUGAGGUUUUGAUUUUUUUCCAACAAGUUUCAGCCAUGGUGGUGUCUUUAGCCCAUUCAAGUUGGCUCAUAUAGGUUUUUCCCUCUUCAGUCCUUCCUCUACAUAAUAAUAGCAUGACAUAUAUGUAGAUUGCUUCUUUCUAGUCUAUGUAGUGUGAUAAUAAUACGGGACGGUAUACUACAGAUGAAAUAGUAGAAAUAACAAUCAAAAUACAAUUAUACAAUCUUAAACACUAAACAAAACAAACAAUAGUAACAAA